GACAGGCAGACGCCCCCGCUACAGGCUGGCUGUAGGGAUGACGUCACUACCCCUGACUGCAGGGGGUGGCACUUCCGUUCCCUCCCCCAUUGCGGCUCCCCCAGCCCCUAGUAUCACCACCGUUUCUCCUCGUGGGGAGUGGGCCGAGGUUAGAAAAGGGUUUUCCACACGGCCUUGGCUUUUGGCUGCUUCCCCAGCAGCCUGGAGUCCGGGCCCUGGGACUAGAGCGGGAGCCGCGGCCGCCCCCUCCCGACGCGACCCAUUGUGUGUGCGGCCGGCUCUGGGCGGAGGCUGGUGCCUGCCCCCCGCAGCUACCCGCUGGGAAGGGAGCGGGGGCGGGCCCUUCAGCAAUCAAGGCCAAGUCCCGCCGUCGGCCGGGUCUCGCGUCCAGACUUCGGCGUCCGCCCUAGCAAGGUCCGACGCUCUGGACUCCCGGCCGGGACGCGGCGGCCGUCGCCUGCGUCCCUGGGGCGCCUGGUGGUUAGUAACCCGCUCAGUGGAGCGGGUCCACGGCCAGCCCGGCGGGUGUGUGGUCAGCGUCUGUCACCGCUGCGAGGGGAAUGAUUCCAGCAGUCGUUAGGAGCUAUUUGGGGAAACUCGGGGUUUGGGUGACUCAGCGCGGUGAGCGCUAUUUAUAGGUAAAUGCGCUAAGAGGAGGGAAAUACACUGAGCCGGAUCCGUCCGCCGGAGUACAGCAACCAACUUCAUUAGGAGGAAACAAUUAAAAGACAAUUUUUUAAAAAAUAUAUUUUUUAGUUGUCGAUAGUCCUUUGUUUUAUUUACUUAUAUGCGGUGCUGAGAAUGGAACCCAGUGCCUCUCACAUGCCAGGCAAGUGCGUUACCGCUGAGCCACAGCCUCACCCCCUAAAAGACAAUUUUUUAAAGAAAAAAGAUUGAGCUGUUUGAGUGUGUGCUGUGAGACAACUAGUCUCACGAGCAGGCUCGUUAGAACAGUGUAUCUUUAAAAGUCGGAACGUUUUCCAGAAGUAGAUGGAGAGUUGGAAGACACGUCUGGACUGUCUUUCUAGCUGAUAGUUCUUGAAGUAGGAGCAUUAUUUAGUGCAAAAGACUGAGCAGUCCUAGUAGAUUCCAGAAUAUCAAGACCUGCGUUUUUUAUUAAUUACAGGAUUUGUAUAAACAUGUGGUGGCAGGGUAUAAAACUGAAUGAUGAUAAAAGUCCUUCUUUACAUGAGAUUCUUUAAUAUUGAGGUUUGUGUGGCAUUUAUCCAGCAUCAAAAGUCUUAUAAAUUACGUUUCCCACCCAAUUUUUUUCUUCCCAAGAAAGCACUACAAAACAUUACAUACAACCUGAGGUUCUUCAACAGUGUAUAAAUGCUGCCAUUAACUUUUAAAUCACUAAACAAUGAUUUUGAUCUUAUUUUGUGGUUUUAAUCCCCCACUCCCAACUACUCCCAACUACUGGAGGAACUACUGGAGGUAGAGGCUAAGAACAAUUGUAAAACUGGCUGCAGGGAGGCAAGAGUUGACAACCAGCAUGCUUAGCCUGCACAGCUUUUGGUAGGUAGUGUGACAUGAGCUGUUUCUUGAAGGAGAGUUGGUUUCCUGGAUGACUUGAAGUUCGGUCAGCUAAGAGGAAAGGAAUACGAAGCAGAGAGCAAAACGAUGUCAAGAAUAACAGCUAGGUGGGUGUCUAGGGAUUGAAGAGGAGUAUGAAGGGAGCUGGACCUAUGGCUAGGUCAUGCAGGACUUUUUAUACCAUACUGAGGAAUUUGGGCCUUAGCCUGAAAACCUAAAAC
rnacentral:lncRNA from 1 species